GAUGAAGAACGCAGCGAAAUGCGAUACGUAAUGUGAAUUGCAGAAUUCAGUGAAUCAUCGAAUCUUUGAACGCAUACUGCGCUCUCUGGUAUUCCGGAGAGCAUGCUUGUUUGAGUAUCAGUAAACACCUCAACUUCCAUAUCUUUUUUGAAAUGGGAGUUGGACUUGAGUGAUCCCAACGCUUUUCCUCACCGAAAAGUGGCGGGUUACUUGAAAUGCAGGUGCAGCUGGACUUUUCUCUGAGCUAUAAGCAUAUCUAUUUAGUCUGCCUAAAAAACAGAUUAUUACCUUUGCUGCAGCUAACAUAAAGGAGAUUAGUUCUUGUGCUGACUGAUGCAGGAUUCACAAAGACGGCUUCGGCCGACUUUGUAAACUCGAUCUCAAAUCAAGUAAGACUACCCGCUGAACUUAAGCAUAUCAAUAAGCGGAGGA
rnacentral:misc_RNA from 1 species